GAAACUGGGAUUAGAUACCCCACUAUGCCUAGCCAUAAACUUUAAAUUACACCCACAUCGCCAGGGAACUACGAGCAAAGCUUAAAACCCAAAGGACUUGACGGUACCCCAUAUCCACCUAGAGGAGCCUGUCCUACAAUCGAUACCCCCCGCUAAACCUCACCACUUUUAGUCUACUCAGCCUGUAUACCUCCGUCGUCAGCUUACCACGUGAGCGCAACUUAGUGAGCUUAAUGCCCGUGCGCCAAUACGUCAGGUCAAGGUGCAGCAAAUGAAGUGGGAAGAGAUGGGCUACACUCUCUAAUAUAGAAAAAACGGAAGAUUAUCUAUGAAACCUAAUCUAAAGGCGGAUUUAGAAGUAAAAAGAAAAAAGAAUGUCCUUUUUAACCCGGCACUGGGGUGUGUACACACCGCCCGUCACCCUCUUCAUAGCCACCAAAAAGUAAAUAACCUAUUAAUGCAACACAGAAGAGGCAAGUCGUAACAUGGUAAGUAUACCGGAAGGUGUGCUUGGAAACGAAGUGUAGCUUAAC
rnacentral:rRNA from 1 species